rnacentral:RNase_P_RNA from 1 species
GAGAGAGGAAGGGCAGCUGCCGGUCUUCACAAGAAGGCUGAGGAAAGUCCCUCCACCACAAGAACACGAACGCCGCGAAGGCGUAAGGCGAGAGUCUUGGCUCUGGUAUAGAAACGAUACCGUGCCGUAGUAACGCGAUGAUUCCGCAAGGAUGAGGCCAUAUGGUUACGGAUGGAACGGCCAACCUCGUGGGUGCAAGCCGUAUGAAGGCGCGAAGAUGAAUGCUGCCGAAACAGAAGGGGGCUUACUCUCCUCACUC